UGGGGAAUUUUUCGCAAUGGGGGCAACCCUGACGAAGCAACGCCGCGUGGAUGAUGAAGUCUCUUGGGACGUAAAAUCCUUUCGACAGAGAAGAAACCGCAAGGGUGACGGUACCUGUAGAAGAAGCCCCGGCUAACUCCGUGCCAGCAGCCGCGGUAAUACGGGGGGGGCAAGCGUUGUUCGGAAUUACUGGGCGUAAAGGGCGCGUAGGCGGUUCAUUAAGUUGGAUGUGAAAACUCUGGGCUUAACCCAGAGCCUGCAUUCAAAACUGAUGGGCUGGAGUUCUGGAGGGGAUAGCGGAAUUCCUGGUGUAGCGGUGAAAUGCGUAGAUAUCAGGAGGAACACCGGUGGCGAAGGCGGCUAUCUGGACAGAAACUGACGCUGAGGCGCGAAAGCUAGGGGAGCAAACAGGAUUAGAUACCCUGGUAGUCCUAGCCCUAAACGAUGGAUACUUGGUGUGACUGGGAUUGAAUCCAGUCGUGCCGAAGCUAACGCAUUAAGUAUCCCGCCUGGGGAGUACGGUCGCAAGGCUGA
rnacentral:rRNA from 1 species